AGGUCACAGAUUGUGCCUGGUUCUGCAGGACUUUGUUCUGGAAAAUGACUGCUGUUUCUCUUGAGGGGAACAACUUCAGGGGUCAUGUAAGAGUAUGGACAAGCUGUUCAGAGUAAUCAUUCCCAUAUCUACCAUCAGCUGCUUUGCUAGACUGAUAUCACUUCCAUCACUAAAUAAUAGGCAUGGAAGUUUUGUUUUUCUGAGGAAGAUACCUACCAGAUCCAGAAUGAGAAUCAGAAAGUUGUUCUGGCAAUAUAUGUUUUGAAUUACAUUUACAUGGGUCAGGAUUUUUAUUGAACCCAAACUCUUCUAUCUUUCCACAUAUAACUCAGAUGUCAAUGGUGUGUAAAAUCCAUUUAAUGAUAAUACAAAUGAUGAUGAAGAGUAGGUCUCAGGGGGAAAGCGCUUGCACCUAGGAAAGCAAAGAAGCUCAUGGUCAUUUUAAGGAUGCUUAAAGUGAAGUACUUUAUGUCACAAUUUUGGGCAGCGGACAAAGACCGGCUCCUCAAAGCAUAGCUUCACAAGGCAGGAUUUUUGCAUAACCACAGGUGGGGAAUUUGCAUUAGCCUCUAUCUCUCAGUAUUUCCCAGGAAAUCCACUCCAUACUAUUGUCCUGAAAAAUCCAU